UUAGAAGCACUGGCUACAGAGGAGUACCAAUGUCGUCUACAUAUUUCUCAGUCAGUAAUCUGUACAGUAUGCGGUAAUGCUAUGGAAGAUGCCCAUCAUGCUCUGAUUUGGUGCCCACAUGCUGCUGGCCUUUGGAAUGCUAUGCGGGAGGAAUGGGACAUUCCUAAAGCUGACCAACUCAAGGAUGGUGCCCCUGAUUGGUUGUUCAGGUUGCUUGAGAAAUUAUCAGAUACCCAGCGACUUAUAUGCCUCAUGAUCAUGUGGCGAGCCUGGCAUGUACGCAAUGAGGUGACCCAUCAGAAGCCGUUUAUCCCUAUUGCAAAAUCAAGGCGAUUUUUGUCCAGCUAUAUCACCUCCCUCCUGGCACUACAACAACACCCUCAUGAGGACCAGAUCAAGGGGAAAGGUGUGAUUAAGCUAGGCGGUGUCAAACAUGUCCAUCAAGAGCCUAUACCGCAUAUAGAGAAGUGGAGACCUCCGGAACCGGGUACUGCCAAGCUCAACGUUGAUGGGGUGUAUGUGGCGGAGAAUGGUUCUGCAGGCGCAGGUAUGAUCCUUCGAGACCACUCAAGGGCUGUCAUCUUUGCUGCGAUCCGUGCGCUGCCAUCCUGCACUGGAGCGCUUGAAGCCGAGCUUGCCGCAAUCCAGGAGGGAAUUCAUCUCGCUCUGAGUUGGACGGAUCUCGAUUUUGUUGUCGAGUCUGACUGCGCUGAAGCCAUCACAAUGUUAUCGUCGCCAAGAAAGGAUCGAUCACCACAUGCAUAUCGUGUGAAUGAGAUUAGAAAUCUUAUUUUUGGAGGAAGGAGGAUAGAACUUGUUAAGGUUAGGCGGGAUGUUAAUGUUGCUAGUCAUAGCCUCGCUUACAUG
rnacentral:rRNA from 1 species